rnacentral:tRNA from 1 species
GUGACGGUAGCUCAACGGUAGAGCGUCAGGUUAAAACCCUGAAGGUUGUCGGUUCGAUCCCGGCGUCGUCACU